rnacentral:rRNA from 1 species
GAUGAACGCUGGCGGCGUGCCUAAUACAUGCAAGUCGAGCGAAUGGAUUAAGAGCUUGCUCUUAUGAAGUUAGCGGCGGACGGGUGAGUAACACGUGGGUAACCUGCCCAUAAGACUGGGAUAACUCCGGGAAACCGGGGCUAAUACCGGAUAACAUUUUGAACAGCAUGGUUCGAAAUUGAAAGGCGGCUUCGGCUGUCACUUAUGGAUGGACCCGCGUCGCAUUAGCUAGCUGGUGAGGUAACGGCUCACCAAGGCAACGAUGCGUAGCCGACCUGAGAGGGUGAGCGGCCACACUGGGACUGAGACACGGCCCAGACUCCUACGGGAGGCAGCAGUAGGGAAUCUUCCGCAAUGGACGAAAGUCUGACGGAGCAACGCCGCGUGAGUGAUGAAGGCUUUCGGGUCGUAAAACUCUGUUGUUAGGGAAGAACAAGUGCUAGUUGAAUAAGCUGGCACCUUGACGGUACCUAACCAGAAAGCCACGGCUAACUACGUGCCAGCCGCCGCAGUAA